ensembl:lncRNA
GUGAGCUCUUCGACACCCCCCCCCCCCCCCCCCCCACACCCCUCCCUCCCUCGUCCCUUCCUUCCCCUCUUCUCCCCUCCCCCCCCCCCCCGGGACGAGCAGGAAGAGAAUUCACCCGAGAGCACAUAGUACACUUUGCACAGCGUGUACAGUCUCCACAAUCAGUCAGCAAGUCUCGCUAAAUAUCUUAAAAGGUGAGACGAUGAGUCAAAGUUUUACAAAGUUUUACAGCUGGACUGGAAGUGAUCACAUGACACAACCCAUCUUUGCAUAAUGUUUCUUAUCCAACUAUCUAACAUUCUGCGAAACACAUGACGCCGUGGUAGCCACCUGUCAAUCACAGCGUAGCCCCGCCCCUGAGCGUAGCCUCCUUCAGGAUUUCGGCACAGUCUGCACAGCCACAGUUGUCCCUCCGUCCUGCACAUCGCUGCGCUCUCAUUGGGACAGAAGGAGCUUCCUUCAGGUGAUGCGGCUCCGCAGGUGUGAGACAAGCGGCGCGGAGGAGGAGGCAGUGGGAC